rnacentral:lncRNA from 1 species
AUAAGAAUAUGAUGACUGAAGAUGUUCUAGGAAAUAAUGGCAGAGCCACAGCGAACAAGAAUCUGGCAAGCACAGAUGUUGAGGGAAAUCUGAUCACUUGUGAAGGAGAUGCAGUCUUAGUGCCUGGUUUGACUCCGUUACCAAAAUCAGAUGAGGGAGAAUUUGAAGAAGAAGAUCGGAAAAGUAUUUCCGUUGAUGCUUCGGUUGGAAUUAAUGAAGCUAUGAACUACAACUCACCAGAGGUAACUGCUUGAUGAAUGUAAUGGUCAGUUGUUUUCUUUAUUUUUUAAUCCCUUUGUUUCUCUUUCUUUCUUCUACUGCUUUUGCCUGCCAAGCAAUUUCGCUGAUCCCCAGUUUCCUUUACCCAUAUGUUUACCAAUGUUAAUAGAAUCCAUGUGAGUUGUAUCUUGAAAUCAAUGUUUGGUAAAAAGAAUUUCUGAAGACAGUAUGUACCAGCAGGGAAGCUCUUUUGUUUUGUCAAUGUUGAAGUGUUGCAUCUUAAUCAAUCAUUGUUACGCAAAGAUGGAUUUUACCUGCCAAGCAAUUUCGCUGAUCCCCAGUUUCCUUUACCCAUAUGUUUACCAAUGUUAGUAGAAUCCAUGUGAGUUGUAUCUUGAAAUCAAUGUUUGGUAAAAAGAAUUUCUGAAGACAGUAUGUACCAGCAGGGAAGCUCUUUUGUUUU